rnacentral:rRNA from 1 species
GACGAACGCUGGCGGCGUGCUUAACACAUGCAAGUCGAACGGAAGGGCCCUGCUUUUGUGGGGUGCUCGAGUGGCGAACGGGUGAGUAACACGUGAGUAACCUGCCCUUGACUUUGGGAUAACUUCAGGAAACUGGGGCUAAUACCGGAUAGGAGCUCCUGCUGCAUGGUGGGGGUUGGAAAGUUUCGGCGGUUGGGGAUGGACUCGCGGCUUAUCAGCUUGUUGGUGGGGUAGUGGCUUACCAAGGCUUUGACGGGUAGCCGGCCUGAGAGGGUGACCGGCCACAUUGGGACUGAGCUACGGCACAGACUCCUACGGGAGGCAGCAGUGGGGAAUAUUGCACAAUGGGCGGAAGCCUGAUGCAGCAACGCCGCGUGCGGGAUGACGGCCUUCGGGUUGUAAACCGCUUUCGCCUGUGACGAAGCGUGAGUGACGGUAAUGGGUAAAGAAGCACCGGCUAACUACGUG